rnacentral:rRNA from 1 species
CGCGUAGGCGGAUCGUUAAGUUAGAGGUGAAAGCCCAGGGCUCAACCUUGGAACUGCCUUUGAUACUGGCGAUCUGGAGUACGGGAGAGGUGUGUGGAACUCCGAGUGUAGAGGUGAAAUUCGUAGAUAUUCGGAAGAACACCAGUGGCGAAGGCGACACACUGGCCCGUUACUGACGCUGAGGCGCGAAAGCGUGGGGAGCAAACA